GUUUGAUCCUGGCUCAGGACGAACGCUGGCGGCAUGCCUAAUACAUGCAAGUCGUGCGGAUACUUCAGGGAGCUUGCUCCUUGAAGUGUUAGCGGCGGAUGGGUGAGUAACACGUGGGCAACCUGCCCUACAGAUGGGGAUAACUCCGGGAAACCGGGGCUAAUACCGAAUAAACAGUUUGUCCGCAUGGACAAACUCUGAAAGACGGUUUCGGCUGUCACUGUAGGAUGGGCCCGCGGCGCAUUAGCUAGUUGGUGGGAUAACGGCCUACCAAGGCAACGAUGCGUAGCCGACCUGAGAGGGUGAUCGGCCACACUGGGACUGAGACACGGCCCAGACUCCUACGGGAGGCAGCAGUAGGGAAUCUUCCACAAUGGACGAAAGUCUGAUGGAGCAAUGCCGCGUGAGUGAAGAAGGUUUUCGGAUCGUAAAGCUCUGUUGUAAGGGAAGAACAAGUAUGGGAGUAACUGCCCGUACCUUGACGGUACCUUAUUAGAAAGCCACGGCUAACUACGUGCCAGCAGCCGCGGUAAUACGUAGGUGGCAAGCGUUGU
rnacentral:rRNA from 1 species